UCAGCAUGCCGCGUGUGUGAAGAAGGCCUUCGGGUUGUAAAGCACUUUUGUCCGGAAAGAAAUCGCGCUGGCUAAUACCUGGCGUGGAUGACGGUACCGGAAGAAUAAGCACCGGCUAACUACGUGCCAGCAGCCGCGGUAAUACGUAGGGUGCGAGCGUUAAUCGGAAUUACUGGGCGUAAAGCGUGCGCAGGCGGUUUUGUAAGACAGGCGUGAAAUCCCCGAGCUCAACUUGGGAAUGGCGCUUGUGACUGCACGGCUAGAGUAUGUCAGAGGGGGGUAGAAUUCCACGUGUAGCAGUGAAAUGCGUAGAGAUGUGGAGGAAUACCGAUGGCGAAGGCAGCCCCCUGGGACGUCACUGACGCUCAUGCACGAAAGCGUGGGGAGCAAACAGGAUUAGAUACCCUGGUAGUCCACGCCCUAAACGAUGUCAACUAGUUGUUGGGGAUUCAUUUCCUCAGUAACGUAGCUAACGCGUGAAGUUGACCGCCUGGGGAGUACGGUCGCAAGAUUAAAACUCAAAGGAAUUU
rnacentral:rRNA from 1 species